rnacentral:rRNA from 1 species
GAUGAACGCUGGCGGCGUGCCUAAUACAUGCCAGUCAAGCGAACAGACGAGGAGUUUUUUCCUCUUACGUUAGCGGCGGACGGGUGAGUAACACGUGGAUAACCUACCUCUAAGACUGGGAUAACUGCGGGAAACCGCAGCUAAUACCGGAUAAUAUACUGAACCGCAUGGUUCCAUAGUGAACUACGUGUUUGCUGGCUCUUAUAGAUGUAUUCGCACCUCAUUAGCUUGUUGGUAAGGUAACGGCUUACCAAGGCGACGAUGCGUAGCCGACCGGAGAGGGUGAUCCGCCACACUGGACCUGAGACGCGGUCCAGACUCCUAAGGGAGGCAGCAGUAGGGAAUCUUCCGCAAUGGGCGGAAGCCUGGCGGAGCAACGCCGCGCGGGUGAUGAUGGUCUUCGGGUCGUAAAUCUCUGUUAUUGGGGAAGAACAAAUGUGGAAGUAACUAUGCACGUCUUGACGGUGCCUAAUCAGAAAGGCACGGCUAACUACGUG